UAGCUUGAUGAGACCUAACACCAGUAAGUUUAUUCAAGCUGGGAAUCCCACUGCUAGCUCCACAUGAAGACAUAGCCAGCAUAUUAAUGGGGGAGUGCAUGACCAUUAAUCUCAAACACAAAAGAUGGAUGGAUUUUGGGAGCUGCCACCAGAAGCCAGCAAGUAACCCAAGUGGAUGCUUCUAAGUUCUAGCACUAUGGAACCUUGGGGUAUGAUGGUUUUCACUGGAACAUAGAGAAUUAAUUGUAAAGUGGUUAAGGUGCAUGCCUACUAGCGUGUUCCUGAGAGCUGAUGGAGUGGAUCAAAGAUAUAAAAGGAUCACAGAAAGGUGUUCGGUUUAGCAGAGAAACUACUAUCAAUGUUAAGACCCUCUCGGAUUAGAGACUAAGGUAAAACCCCUGUGGAAUAUCAAAUCUGACUAUACCAAUUGCUAACAUGUGAUUGAUGGAUAGGCGAUCUGUUCUUGCAAACCGGGAUACGAGGUGGCAGCUGUUGAGAAUGGUGGGGACACUUGUGUGGACACAGAAACUAUACGAGAUGGCAGUUACUGCAUCCUCAGGCCCUGCCCAGAGGGAUAUGAAUGCCGAGAUAUGGAACACUAUCAGUUUGAUUGCAUCAGAGGAGCCCUUAUUGUGCCAAACUGAGUAAUUCAGAAUUACUUUUUUUAGUCCUUUCUUGCUCUAUUCACUUUCUCAUCCUUGAUAAAAGAAGUAAUAAGUCUAGAUGUGGAUAGUCUUGGAGUAAACUGCUUACUGUAUUGCUUUGAAAAGCUCCUGUCUCUUGAGAAUACACUAGAUUUCUGCCACAGCCUAUAAAACCUACAAGCCAUUUAUUAGACACCUCUUCAUUUUAAGCUGAAGAAAGUAAAAAAUAAGGAGUCUGACUUAGCCUAACAGAGAAAACAGAUUGCAAUGUGUAUUUAGAUCAAUAGUAGGGUGGGUUGAUGGAACCUUUAUGUCCAUUACAACACAAGUGUCUAUUUGCAUUCUUUCAGAUGCAGUUUUCCAUUGUUCCAAACUGGAUUCUGCAUAUUCACAGUACGUUCUUGUAAAAUUACUAUUAAAAAUUGGAGCUGACUGUAAAACCUUGAUUGGAAAAAAGAUGAAAUUCUCACAAGUUUUCCCCCAACCCCAUUUUCUUAUUAGUUCUAUUAAACGUGUACUCUGUGCAAACAUAACUGGCAUGUUACAAACAUGAGUGUCAUCCUUCCCUUGUGAGUAAAGUUACACGCAUGCUUAAGUAUUUGUGGAAUCAGGACCACAGAGUAUAAUCCUAUACAUCAUGUCAAUCUGAUUCACAUGACUUACACAACUUAGACUGAUAAGAACAGGCCUCGUGGAGCAAAAUCCUGCAGCUUUCCCAUUUACUUCAGUAGGAAUUUUGCCUGAGUAAGAUGCCAGAAUUUUGUCUCUCCGAACAAGUCUGCAUUCUUUACUCAGAGAGCUUACGGAAAGAGAGGAUAGAUUCCCUGUCACACUGUAAAUCAGGAAUAAUUCAAUUGAACUCAAUACCAGUGAGAGUGAGAUCAGAAAACUGACACCUGACAAUGACAAAUUUACCAUGUAGAGUUAUGUUUGGGGGGGCCUGAUUAUGUAGUCCUUACUCAAGUAUGGCUACUGCUUGAAUGGCAGUCUUGCCUGAGUGAAAAUGGUAGAAUCAGUCCUAUGAUAUUUGUAUAUAUUGUACUGUCUUUUCAUCAUAGCAUAACUAUUAUAAAAAAAUUCAAUAAGCUUAUAAGAAGCAAAUAUUAUCUGUGACACACAAAAAUAAACAACAAAUUUGUUUUUACUAAUUUUGGGCCAAUUCCUGCAAUCCUUUACUUAUUACUCAGGCAGCACCCACUGACAUCUAUAGGAGGUUUUCUGAUGAGAAUUGAGUAGGGACUCCAAGGUUGGUCCCUACAUAUCCAUCUCUAAAGAUUAAAUAAUAUAUAGUAAUGGAAUGGUACAAAUAUUUUAAAGUAUUCAGAUUAAACCUGAAUGGACCACCAAUGGACCUUAAUAUUGAUCUGGAGGAGACUCAAAUGAUGGCAACAGGAUAUCUCGCUUUCUAUAUCUGUUCAGCCUUUUGGCCUCUCUGUGGAGACUUCAAACAAGAUGGCCAGUUAGCGCCAGUUUUGGCAAUAGUUGUGAUGUGGCUACUUACUUAUUGGGAACUGAACUGAGAAUUCCAAAUUCAUUUCAUAUCAACAAUACUAUUAAAGUUGAAAGUUACGUACACUGAUUAUAUUCCACUGAAAAGAGCCAUAUCUAUAUUGUCAGUAUUUCAUGAUUUCCCUCUGCAAUGAGACUAUUAAAAUAUAAGGAGACAAUAUCUGAUGUAAAGAAUUUCAGCUAAACAGCUGAAUGUUGAAAGUUAUUCUACAGUCAGUGUGAUGUUGCACUCCAUAUGCUUUAUGAUAUAACUGAAAUAUGCUUUAUGCAAAAGGUCUCUUGUAAGGUAUCAUUACAAAUCUUAUAAUCUACUGAGUGUGUUCAUCCUAUUUGUAUGCAUGU